rnacentral:rRNA from 1 species
GACGAACGCUGGCGGCGUGCUUAACACAUGCAAGUCGAACGCGCCUGUCCUCUGGGUUUCUGGGGGGUGGGUGAGUGGCGAACGGGUGAGUAACACGUGAGUAACCUGCCCCCUUCUUCGGGAUAACGGUCUGAAAGGGCUGCUAAUACCGGGUAUUCACUGGUCUCCGCAUGGGGUCUGGUGGAAAGGUUUUUUUCUGGUGGGGGAUGGGCUCGCGGCCUAUCAGCUUGUUGGUGGGGUGAUGGCCCACCAAGGCUUUGACGGGUAGCCGGCCUGAGAGGGUGACCGGUCACAUUGGGACUGAGAUACGGCCCAGACUCCUACGGGAGGCAGCAGUGGGGAAUAUUGCGCGAUGGGCGCAAGCCUGAUGCAGCGACGCCGCGUGAGGGAUGGAGGCCUUCGGGUUGUGAACCUCUUUCGCCCGUGGUCAAGCCGCGACGUGGGUCGUGGUGAGGGUAGUGGGUAAAGAAGCGCCGGCUAACUACGUG